GAUGAACGCUGGUGGCGUGCCUAAUACAUGCAAGUCGAGCGAACGGACGAGAAGCUUGCUUCUCUGAUGUUAGCGGCGGACGGGUGAGUAACACGUGAAUAACCUACCUAUAAGACUGGGAUAACUUCGGGAAACCGGAGCUAAUACCGGAUAAUAUUUUGAACCGCAUGGUUCAAAAGUGAAAGACGGUCUUGCUGUCACUUAUAGAUGGAUCCGCGCUGCAUUAGCUAGUUGGUAAGGUAACGGCUUACCAAGGCAACGAUGCAUAGCCGACCUGAGAGGGUGAUCGGCCACACUGGAACUGAGACACGGUCCAGACUCCUACGGGAGGCAGCAGUAGGGAAUCUUCCGCAAUGGGCGAAAGCCUGACGGAGCAACGCCGCGUGAGUGAUGAAGGUCUUCGGAUCGUAAAACUCUGUUAUUAGGGAAGAACAUAUGUGUAAGUAACUGUGCACAUCUUGACGGUACCUAAUCAGAAAGCCACGGCUAACUACGUG
rnacentral:rRNA from 1 species